GACGAACGCUGGCGGCGUGCUUAACACAGAAUGAAGAAACGAGUGGCGAACGGGUGAGUAACGCGUAAUAAACCUGCCUUUCAGUGGGGGACAACAGUUGGAAACGACUGCUAAUACCUAAUACUGGGAGAGAGCUUUGCGUCCCAUUAGCUAGUGGGUGAGGUAACGGCUCACCAAGGCGAGGAUGGGUAGCCGGCCUGAGAGGGGGAUCGGCCACAAGGGGACUGGGACACGGCCCUUACGCCUACGGGAGGCAGGAGUGGGGAAUAGUUGACAAUGGACCAAAGUCUGAUGCAGCAAUUCUGUGUGCACGAUGAAGUUUUCGGAAUGUAGAGUUCUUUCAGUUGGGAAGCGGUACCAACAGAAGAAGUGACGGCUAAAUACGUGCCAGCAGCCGCGGUAAUAC
rnacentral:rRNA from 1 species